GGGGUUGUGGCUCAGUGGUAGAGCACUUGCCUAGCACGUGCAAGGCCCUGGGUUCGAUCCUCAGCAUCACAU
rnacentral:tRNA from 1 species